AACGAACGCUGGCGGCAGGCCUAACACAUGCAAGUCGAGCGCCCGCAAGGGAGCGGCGGACGGGUGAGUAACGCGUGGGAACGUGCCCUUUGCUACGGAAUAGCCUCGGGAAACUGAGAGUAAUACCGUAUGUGCCCUUCGGGGGAAAGAUUUAUCGGCAAAGGAUCGGCCCGCGUUGGAUUAUGUAGUUGGUGGGGUAAUGGCCUACAAAGCCGACGAUCCAUAGCGGGUUUGAGAGGAUGAUCAGCCACACUGGGACUGAGACCCGGCCCAGGCUCCGUCGGGAGGCAGCAGUGGGGAAUCUUAGACAAUGGGCGCAAGCCUGAUCUAGCCAUGCCGCGUGAGCGAUGAAGGCCUUAGGGUUGUAAAGCUCUUUCGUGGGGGAAGAUAAUGACGGUACCCCAAGAAGAAGCCCCGGCUAACUCCGUGCCAGCCGCCGCCGUAACAC
rnacentral:rRNA from 1 species